rnacentral:misc_RNA from 1 species
GGAAGGAUCAUUAAAGAAAGAAAAGGAGCGCUCUUUUUUUAGAGGCUUCGACUCUUCUCUUUCCACACACCCGUGCACUCGGGGGCGUCGGAGCCGGCUGACAAAGCCGUGCCGAGGUGCUUUCCCGCCCUUCAAACUCCGAAAAGUAGUCGAGGAUGUUGUAAAACAAAAAGAAAACUAAACAAAACUUUCAACAACGGAUCUCUUGGCUCUCGCAUCGAUGAAGAACGCAGCGAAAUGUGAUACGUAGUGUGAAUUGCAGAAUUCAGUGAAUCAUCGAAUCUUUGAACGCACCUUGCGCCCUCCGGUAUUCCGGAGAGCAUGCUUGUUUGAGUGUCGUAUCAUCCUCAACCCCCAACAUCUUUCUUGCCUCACUCCGGGUGGCGCGAUCGAUCUGCAUUGGGCGUUGGAUCGUGGCCCGUCUGCCGUUUGCCGUCCGCGGAGAACAGCUCGGCCGAAAUGAAGACAAGUGACUGCACCCAAGCGUGUUGAUCGGCUUGAACUCGACGUUGUAACUGCUUCUUCGUUGAGCUACGAUUUGCGCGUCCGCCCUCCACGGUGGAGCUGGGCUCACUUUGAGAACUACUAUACAUACGAGCAAAUUAGAUCUCAAAUCAGGUAGGACUACCCGCUGAACUUAAGCAUAUCAAUAAGCGGAGGAAAAGAAACUAACAAGGAUUCCCCUAGUAGCGGCGAGCGAAGCGGGAAGAGCCCAAUUUUGAAAUCUGGCUGUCUUGGCAGUCCGAGUUGUAAUCUCGAGAAGCGUUGCCCGUUGUCGGACCAUGCACAAGUCGAUUGGAAUAUCGUAUCAUAGAGGGUGAGAAUCCCGUCUAGGGCAUGGACUCCCGAUGCAUAGUGGCGCGCCUUCAAAGAGUCGAGUUGUUUGGGAAUGCAGCUCAAAUCAGGUGGUAAAUUCCAUCCAAGGCUAAAUAUUGGCGAGAGACCGAUAGCGAACAAGUACCGUGAGGGAAAGAUGAAAAGCACUUUGGAAAGAGGGUGAUUAACAGACGUGAAAUUGUUGAAAGGGAAACGAUUGAAGUCAGACGUGCGCGGCGGGGUUCAGCUCUUCACCGAGUGUAUUUCCCGCCUUUGCAGGCCAGCAUCGGUUGGACCGGGCGCAAAAGUGCUCGGGGAACGUGGCUUCGGCUUCGGCCGGAGUGUUAUAGCCCCUUGCAGGAUGCCUGUCCUGGUCCGACCGUGGAACGCGGCAGUCCUUACUCGUCCUGUGCGAGCAACUGCCAAGGAUGCUGGUGGAAUGGCUUUAAACGACCCGUCUUGAAACACGGACCAAGGAGUCUAACAUGCAUGCGAGUGUUUGAGUGUCAAACUCGGACGCGCAAUGAAAGUGAAUUCUCAGGUGGGAUCCGCAAGGUGCACCAUCGACCGAUCUGGAUUUUCUAAUGAUGGAUUUGAGUAAGAGCAUGUAUGUUGGGACCCGAAAGAUGGUGAACUAUGCCUGAAUAGGGUGAAGCCAGAGGAAACUCUGGUGGAGGCUCGUAGCGAUUCUGACGUGCAAAUCGAUCGUCAAAUUUGGGUAUAGGGGCGAAAGACUAAUCGAACCAUCUAGUAGCUGGUUCCUGC